ACGGGGUGCACCNGGCGCGAAACCUCCGCAAUACACGAAAGUGUGACGGGGUUACCCAAAGUGUUCAAUUUUGAACUGUGGUAGGUGAGUAAUGUUCCCUACUAGAAAGGAGAGGGCAAGGCUGGUGCCAGCCGCCGCGGUAAAACCAGCUCUUCAAGUGGUCGGGAUAAUUAUUGGGCUUAAAGUGUCCGUAGCCGGUUUAGUAAGUUCCUGGUAAAAUCGGGUAGCUUAACUAUCUAUAUGCUAGGAAUACUACUAUACUAGAGGGCGGGAGAGGUCUGAGGUACUACAGGGGUAGGGGUGAAAUCUUAUAAUCCUUGUAGGACCACCAGUGGCGAAGGCGUCAGACUGGAACGCGCCUGACGGUGAGGGACGAAAGCCAGGGGAGCGAACCGGAUUAGAUACCCGGGUAGUCCUGGCCGUAAACGAUGCAUACUAGGUGACGGCACGGCCAUGAGCCAUGUCAGUGCCGUAGGGAAACCGUUAAGUGUGCCGCCUGGGAAGUACGGUCGCAAGGCUAAAACUUAAAGGAAUUGGCGGGGGAGCAC
rnacentral:rRNA from 1 species